AUUGAACGCUGGCGGUAGGCCUAACACAUGCAAGUCGAACGGUAACAGGAAGAAGCUUGCUUCUUUGCUGACGAGUGGCGGACGGGUGAGUAAUGUCUGGGAAACUGCCUGAUGGAGGGGGAUAACUACCGGAAACGGUAGCUAAUACCGCAUAACGUCGCAAGACCAAAGAGGGGGACCUUCGGGCCUCUUGCCAUCGGAUGUGCCCAGAUGGGAUUAGCUAGUAGGUGGGGUAACGGCUCACCUAGGCGACGAUCCCUAGCUGGUCUGAGAGGAUGACCAGCCACACUGGAACUGAGACACGGUCCAGACUCCUACGGGAGGCAGCAGUGGGGAAUAUUGCACAAUGGGCGCAAGCCUGAUGCAGCCAUGCCGCGUGUAUGAAGAAGGCCUUCGGGUUGUAAAGUACUUUCAGCGGGGAGGAAGGGAGUAAAGUUAAUACCUUUGCUCAUUGACGUUACCCGCAGAAGAAGCACCGGCUAACUCCGUG
rnacentral:rRNA from 1 species